rnacentral:misc_RNA from 1 species
GUAAAAUGCUUAAACACAAUCUUAGUUGUGCUUGAGAUUAUGAAAGCAUACUUGCAUUAUUAGGCUUCAGGUCCGUCACCAAUACUAGCUUAGCUUCUUCUGGGACCCGAGAUUGCAGAAGAACAGAGACGACUAGCUCAGAAAGUAAAACUGCUAUAGAAAGGGGAAAAAAAGAGAGUAUGCUGAUGCUUCAGAAUUCAGGUUGAAAAUAUUUACCGAAGUAAAAGAAACCUUAGAAUUG